rnacentral:tRNA from 1 species
GGAGGGGUGCCUGAGCGGUUGAAAGGGAUGGUUCCGAAAACCAUUAAGGUCGAAAGAUCUUCGCGAGUUCGAAUCUCGCCCCCUCCG